rnacentral:pre_miRNA from 1 species
CAUAGGUGAAGAUAUUGGCGUGCCUCAAUCUAAUUACAUGGUUAAAUGAUAUGUUUUAGCCAAGUACUUUGGAUUGAGCCGCGUCAAUAUCUCCUUCAAUUAA